AGCUUUGUGCAGUGGCAGUGUCGUAGCCAAUGGAGUUUAUCUGAGGCACGGUUAUUGUUAAUUGAAAGUAUGCUUACUAUCAGCCCAACAUAUUGAAAUAUAAUUCUAUGAAAGAUUACAUUUAAA
rnacentral:snRNA from 1 species